AUCUUGUUAAAAAGCAGAUGGGGAUUCAGCAGCUCGGGGAUGGGGCCCUGGAUUCUGCAUUUCUAACAAGCUC
rnacentral:miRNA from 1 species